rnacentral:rRNA from 1 species
AUGUGGAUUUUUGGGGCAAUGAUGAUGUUUUUCUACUGGGCUUAUUCUGCGAGGAAUGAUGACAUAUUUGUUUUGUCUAGCAUAAAACCUGAAGCUGCAGAGGACUUAAACUGCCAUGGUGUGACAUAUUAUUGUUUGGCAAUAGUCACUGAGGUUUCUAUGGUUGAUGAAUACCAGAACAGCUUCAGAGUCAAAGUUGCAAAGAAUAUUGGUCUGGACGAAGACUUAAACAAACUCGAACAUGCAAUAUUUCUCAAUAAUAUCACAAUAAACGUACGGAUAUGGAAAGCACUUACCUGCAAAACGCACAUGAAUGACAAUUUCACACUAAUCAAGUCCCUCUUAGCCCCCACAAAUCUGGGUGAGGAUGUUUGUGGUAUCUGUGUUAAACAGGAUGGAGUCUGUUUGGCUUCUUUCGCAGAGACAUCCGGAAAUUAUUGGGCGAGGAUGCUACUGAAUCUGUGA